UACGAAGGGGGCUAGCGUUGCUCGGAAUCACUGGGCGUAAAGGGUGCGUAGGCGGGUCUUUUAAGUCAGGGGUGAAAUCCUGGAGCUCAACUCCAGAACUGCCUUUGAUACUGAAGAUCUUGAGUUCGGGAGAGGUGAGUGGAACUGCGAGUGUAGAGGUGAAAUUCGUAGAUAUUCGCAAGAACACCAGUGGCGAAGGCGGCUCACUGGCCCGAUACUGACGCUGGGGCACGAAAGCGUGGGGAGCAAACAGGG
rnacentral:rRNA from 1 species